CAAAUCACGUGCAUCACGAUAUAAACGUUUUCUUCUUAGUUUCUUCCGAUUUUUCUCGCUCGAGACAGAAUAGAAGCCCCUUAAGGAGAUGGUAAAACAAAUAAAUUAGAAAACAUUUAAGUUACAAACGUUGUCUCCGCUUGCUACCGUAUUCUUUUUAUUUUCCUUGGUCAAGAAGGAAUGGAAGCUAAAAUCUAUUAGACUGAUCAGAAUAUUCUACUGUUUCCUGUUUUGAGGAGAUGAUAGAGUAACAUUAAAAAAUAGAGCGUAGGGUGUCUAGAGAAUUCAUUACGUUGAUUGCAAUAUCUUAACGUUCUUUUCCUUCUAAGAAAAUGAUACAACAAUAAUAAAAGAAGCGCUUUAGCGAUUAA